AGGGGCUUGGAACUGUCUACUGAU
rnacentral:piRNA from 1 species